GGGGGAGAGAUGUGUGGCAAAGAAGGGGGUCGAGUGGUAAAUGGCAGAUAUGUGAGAGCAGAACUAAUAAACGGGCUCUGCCCGAUCACUAAAAUGGCCACCCCUGUCAGAACUACAGAUCACAAAAUGGCCGACCACCAAAACUACAAGUCCCAGAAGCAAGGGGAACCCUCAGAAGGUGGAGCCAACCCACAGAUAAAGGGUCAAGAAAAACCAGGAAGAGAAGAAGAGAGUGCUGGAAGGAUCUAUGAACAAUAGAGAAAGAGACAAUAGAGAUUGGCUGGAUUUACCGUGUAUGAGCUGGACUGUUUUGGAUUUACCUGUUGGCGUUUGGACCUGGACCUACCGAGAACCCGAUUCGUGUACCGAACCCUGCUAUCCUUGACCUCGCCUACGGCCUGGGUGGACCAGGACGGAGAAACAAACACACAGAGGAAGAGGUUGAUGGGGUCAGCUUUAGUAUUUGAGAUUGAGCUGACGUUUUUCAAGUCUGGAUUGGAAAUGCAUCUCUAGCGAGUGAAGCGAAUAUCUUCGCUCACAGGGAACAUCAUGCUUUUGAAAGAGGACGUUCAGGACAUUAGUCUCUGAUGCACAAUUACAUUCAAGAGGAUACACUUUUUAAUCAACCAUAGCCCCAGCACCACACACAGGAGCAACAGAGCAAAGGACACCCCGCCCAGACCAGCAGACACCCUCCCAGACUUGCAAGACCCCUUCCUGAAGGACCUGCACUGAGAGAACCCACGCCAAGAGGACCUACACCCAGACCACAGUAUCACCAGCCACACCCCAACCAGCUAAGACCAUCCCAACCAAACUCUUGCCACACUCUAUAUAGGCCCCCCCAUAUCAGACCUAUGCCCCUUCUACCCACCCCAUGCCCCCCCCCUGAAGGCAAGGACCUCAACACAACAGCAGGACAUGUGCCCAGGCCGUGAGCAGAGCAACAGGCUGCUCAGCAAGGAAGAUGCCACUGCUCCAAAACUGCCAUAAAAAAAGCUAGACUAUGGUUUGCAACUGCACGUGGGGCAAAGAACAUACUUUUAGGAGAAAUGUCCUCUGGUCUGAUGAAACAAAAAUAGAAAUGUUUGGCCAUAAUGACCAUUAUCAUUUUGAAACAGUUAAUGCUUCGCAUACAAGCCAGUGAAUUCUAUGCGUUACAGCUGUCGUGGAAAAUUGCAAGAUUAUGUUAUAAUGCUUGUAUUGCAUUAUAAUGGUUGUUUUAUUCGACAGAAUAGAGUAUUGUGUGUGUGUUCCACUGAGGACGGGCCUCUGAGAUAGCACUGACAGAGGAGAUUUACAAUGUCUUUGGGUAAUAAAGCCUAAAGAUCAUUCCAGAUAACAUGAGCUAAUGGUUCUGUUCUAUGCCGUAUCAGGGAGAGACGGUUCCCUUUUGGAGUGAGGGGGCCAGACACUGGUCUUUACAAUGAGAACUGUUGACAGAGCAGUAACUUGUCUGCUAAGUUUUAUAGAUAUCGUUCAUAUAAAUCUUAACCUUUGUGAACUGUUCCUAAGAUCUGUGGUUCGUCAGUGUAAGUUGAGAGGGGUGUAUCUUGGCUAUAAAAGAUCUUUGUACUUUUCUGUUGGUACUCUUCAAUGGUUCAUUGGAGAUAGCUCAUCAUUGAAAGUCAAAAAGGCUAUUGCAAAGCUUAUUAUUAAAACAGAUGUAGUUUAAGUAUAACUCUGACAGGUGUGUGAAGUUUAACUCUCUCCUCAUUUGGUAAAACAGAAAUAUGCCACCACACAGCUUGUUGAGUCAACAGACGUGGCGGGCCUGUCACAGCUCCUGGUAUACAGUGCCUUGCGAAAGUAUUCGGCCCCCUUGAACUUUGCGACCUUUUGCCACAUUUCAGGCUUCAAACAUAAAGAUAUAAAACUGUAUUUUUUUUUGUGAAGAAUCAACAACAAGUGGGACACAAUCAUGAAGUGGAACGACAUUUAUUGGAUAUU